rnacentral:hammerhead_ribozyme from 1 species
AUCCAGCUGACGAGUUCCAAAUAGAAUGAACUGCGCAUCCUGGAU